GGAAGGAUCUUUUCUGCUGAUCUCUCCUCUGGAGUUUUGCAGUGAGCCCAGGAUGUGGGCAAAAGUGUUUUACUUCACCCUGGGAAAAGAAAGAAAGAAAACAGGAAAACAGGAAAAAAACAUUCAACUCCAUUGAGAGAUUAUUCUAAUCACAGGACAUGUGGUAAGGGACGUUCUCAAGGAGAUAAAAAUGCCUUUUAUUUCUGUUCCCUAUGCAGAAGAUCAAAAAAAGGAACUCGGAUUCAAUGAGUUAUGUUGAAGGACUGCAUCCUGAUGGUAAUAAUGCAUCUAUUAUAGAAUAUUUCAUAGAAAAAUCGUUUAGUGAAUCAUAUACCAUCACUUUA